GACGAACGCUGGCGGCGUGCUUAACACAUGCAAGUCGAACGCUGAAGCUCAGCUUUUGUUGGUUGGAUGAGUGGCGAACGGGUGAGUAACACGUGUGUAACCUGCCCCCUUCUUAGGGAUAACACCCGGAAACGGGUGCUCAUACGUGAUAUACACUGGUCUUCGCCUGGGGGUAGUUUGGAAGGGGGUUUUUGGUGGGGGAUGGGCUCGCGGCCUAUCUGCGUGGUGGAGGGGUGAUGGCCUACCAAGGCUUUGACGGGUAGCCGGGCUGAGAGGGUGACCGGUCACAGUGAGACUGAGAUACGGCCCAGAGUCGUACGGGAGGCAGCAGUGGGGGACAUUGCACAAUGGCCGCAGGCCUGAUGCAGCGACGCCGCGUGAGGGAUGGAGGUCUUCGAAUUGUGAACCUCGUGCGCAAAUCGUCAAGACGGAACAAUGGUUGUGGUGAGGGUAGUGGGUAAAGAAGCGCCGGCUAACUACGUG
rnacentral:rRNA from 1 species